rnacentral:rRNA from 1 species
AUUGAACGCUGGCGGCAUGCUUUACACAUGCAAGUCGAACGAGUGGCGAACGGGUGCGUAAUAUAUCGGAACGUACCGAGUAAUGGGGGAAAACCAAUCGAAAGAUUGGCUAAUACCGCAUAUUAUUCGAGCGGCCGAUAACUGAUUAGCUAGCUGGUGGGGUAAAGGCCUACCAAGGCGACGAUCAGUAGCGGGUUUGCGAGGACGAUACGCCACACUGGGACUGGGACACGGCCCAGAGUCCUACGGGAGGCAGCAGUGGGGAAGUUUGGACUAUGGGGGCAACCCCAGUCCAGCCAUGCCGCGUGUAUGAAGAGGGCCUUCGGGUUGUAAAGUACUUUUGUUAGGGAAGCGGUACCUAAAGAAUAAGCACCGGCUAACUUCGUGCCAGCCGCCGCGGUAAUUC